rnacentral:rRNA from 1 species
GACGAACGCUGGCGGCGUGCUUAACACAUGCAAGUCGAACGGAAAGGCCCUGCUUUUGUGGGGUGCUCGAGUGGCGAACGGGUGAGUAACACGUGAGUAACCUGCCCUUGACUUUGGGAUAACUUCAGGAAACUGGGGCUAAUACCGGAUAGGAGCUCCUGCUGCAUGGUGGGGGUUGGAAAGUUUCGGCGCUUGGGGAUGGACUCGCGGCUUAUCAGCUUGUUGGUGGGGUAGUGGCUUACCAAGGCUUUGACGGGUAGCCGGCCUGAGAGGGUGACCGGCCACAUUGGGACUGAGGUACGGCCCAGACUCCUACGGGAGGCAGCAGUGGGGAAUAUUGCACAAUGGGCGGAAGCCUGAUACAGCAACGCCGCGUGCGGGAUGACGGCCUUCGGGUUGUAAACCGCUUUCGCCUGUGACGAAGCGUGAGUGACGGUAAUGGGUAAAGAAGCACCGGCUAACUACGUG